UACGGAGGGUGCGAGCGUUGUCCGGAAUCACUGGGCGUAAAGGGCGCGUAGGCGGUCAGCACAAGUCAGUUGUGAAAUCUCCGAGCUUAACUCGGAAAGGUCAACUGAUACUGUGCGACUAGAGUGCGGAAGGGGCAACUGGAAUUCUUGGUGUAGCGGUGAAAUGCGUAGAUAUCAAGAGGAACACCUGCGGCGAAGGCGGGUUGCUGGGCCGACACUGACGCUGAAGCGCGAAAGCCAGGGGAGCGAACGGG
rnacentral:rRNA from 1 species